rnacentral:tRNA from 1 species
AAGCCUUUAGUUUAAUGGCAAAACGGUCUACUCAUGAUGGACGUAUGCGGGUUCGAUCCCUGCAUGGCUUU